UAGACGCUCAAGCUCAAGUGACCCUCAAG
rnacentral:piRNA from 1 species